UACGGAGGGUGCAAGCGUUGUCCGGAAUCACUGGGCGUAAAGAGCUCGUAGGCGGCUCGGUAAGUCGGAUGUGAAACCUCCAGGCUCAACCUGGAGACGCCAUCUGAUACUGCCGUGGCUUGAGUCCGGUAGAGGAGCAGGGAAUUCCUGGUGUAGCGGUGAAAUGCGCAGAUAUCAGGAGGAACACCAGCGGCGAAGGCGCUGCUCUGGGCCGGUACUGACGCUGAGGAGCGAAAGCGUGGGGAGCGAACAGG
rnacentral:rRNA from 1 species